CCCUCCGGGGCCGACCUGAAGCAGCCGGUCUUUCUCUUUGGCAAAAAGGGACAGUCCCUGCGCGAUAAGGAGGCCUGGAACCGGCGGAGGCUGUCGACGGACCAGCGACA
rnacentral:SRP_RNA from 17 species